CCUACGGGGGGCAGCAGUGGGGAAUAUUGGGCAAUGGGCGCAAGCCUGACCCAGCAACGCCGCGUGAAGGAAGAAGGCUUUCGGGUUGUAAACUUCUUUUCUCAGGGACGAAGCAAGUGACGGUACCUGAGGAAUAAGCCACGGCUAACUACGUGCCAGCAGCCGCGGUAAUACGUAGGUGGCAAGCGUUAUCCGGAUUUACUGGGUGUAAAGGGCGUGUAGGCGGGACUGCAAGUCAGAUGUGAAAACCAUGGGCUCAACCUAUGGCCUGCAUUUGAAACUGUAGUUCUUGAGUACUGGAGAGGCAGACGGAAUUCCUAGUGUAGCGGUGAAAUGCGUAGAUAUUAGGAGGAACACCAGUGGCGAAGGCGGCUUACUGGACUGUAACUGACGUUGAGGCUUGAAAGCGUGGGGAGCAAACAGGAUUAGAUACCCCGGUAGUC
rnacentral:rRNA from 1 species